UCGGGAAUAUUGCGCAAUGGAGGAAACUCUGACGCAGUGACGCCGCGUGCAGGAAGAAGGUUUUCGGAUUGUAAACUGCUUUAGACAGGGAAGAAAAAGGACAGUACCUGUAGAAUAAGCUCCGGCUAACUACGUGCCAGCAGCCGCGGUAAUACGUAGGGAGCAAGCGUUAUCCGGAUUUAUUGGGUGUAAAGGGUGCGUAGACGGGAAAUUAAGUUAGUUGUGAAAUCCCUCGGCUCAACUGAGGAACUGCAACUAAAACUGAUAUUCUUGAGUGCUGGAGAGGAAAGUGGAAUUCCUAGUGUAGCGGUGAAAUGCGUAGAUAUUAGGAGGAACACCAGUGGCGAAGGCGACUUUCUGGACAGUAACUGACGUUGAGGCACGAAAGUGUGGGGAGCAAACA
rnacentral:rRNA from 1 species